GGCAGCAGCUAAGAAUAUUCCACAAUGGACGGAAGUCUGAUGGAGCGACGCCGCGUGCGCGAUGAAGGCCGUGAGGUUGUAAAGCGCUUUUCUUGAGGGGGAACAACACCGCCAGGGAAUGGGCGGUGGAUGACGUGAAUCGAGGAAUAAGCCCCGGCUAACUACGUGCCAGCAGCCGCGGUAACACGUAGGGGGCGAGCGUUGUUCGGAAUCAUUGGGCGUAAAGGGCGCGCAGGCGGCCCGGUAAGUCUGGUGUAAAAUGGUCGUGCUCAACACGAUCAUGCGCUGGAAACUGUCGGGCUAGAGUCAACGAGGGGAUGCCGGAAUUCCAGGUGUAGGGGUGAAAUCUGUAGAUAUCUGGAAGAACACCGAUGGCGAAGGCAGGCAUCUGGCGACUGACUGACGCUGAGGCGCGAAGGUGCGGGGAGCAAACAGGUUUAGAUACCCUGGUAGUCCGCACAGUAAACGAUGUGCACCAGGUGGCGGGCAGCAGUGCUCGGUACCGAAGCAAACGCAUUAAGUGCACCGCCUGGGGAGUAUGCCCGCAAGGGUGAAACUCAAAGGAAUUGACGG
rnacentral:rRNA from 1 species